rnacentral:lncRNA from 12 species
GCCUCCUGCCGGUUCCCUCUCCCUCCAAACCGGGCUGUUCUCUGGGCAAAACAAAAUAACUUUUCCGCGUAUGUGGGGCGGCAAGAGGCGGGAAGCGGUGCUGGCUGGAGCGCGCGAAGGGCCGCAGCGCCGCACCCCAAGCGCGUCGGNNNNNNNNNNGAUCGCCCCCCCCCCCCCCCCCGUGGAGCGCCUCUAGUUCCACGAGGCGGGCUUGGGCCCCGCUCCGCAGGCCUCGCGUGCAGAACGGAGCCUCCGAAGGGCUCCGGCCGCACCUCCUUUCGCCUCCGGGCCCUCCCCUGCAGCGCUCGCAGUUUCUCCCAACCUCCUCCACCCCCCGCCCCAAUUGCUACCCUAUUGACCGUGGUUCGUGUGAAACACGCAGGAUAAAUUUAGUGAAGCCACAACCCCCCGACCUAGAGAGUUUGCAGGGGAAAGCGAGCGUCCGCCGUCCUUGGGGGCUUUUAUUUUUGAAGAAGCACCUCGAAAGAAAAUGAAAAUCGAACUAACCCAAUCACCAUUGGCAAUCGGGCCUUGGCGCAAGGAAAGGGGGCGGGAGGACGGGCCAGUGGUGCCCGGGACUCCCGGUCAAAUAGACCGCUUCCGGCCGGCAGGUGUGAGCGGGCUCGGCGAGAAGGCGUGCGGCCCCGGGGAGCCGGCGAGCCCGACCGGGGCACCCUCCGGCCCGACGCGCUUCCUCCAGAGCCUGCGGCCCCCCCAGGCAGCCGGGGAGAAGAUCUCGGGGAGCCCCGAAGCCACCCACUCGCAGUAGUUGGGAGAGGCUCUGCAGUCCGACCAUGUGAGUCCGCGCUCGACCCCGCCGGGCGCACGCGGGGGCCAGACGCGGGGGAGGCGCUGGGGCUCCGCAGCGGCGCGCGCGCCCCUCGCGCUGUCCUGCGCCCCCGCCCCUGCCCCGGCCCCUGCCCCUGCCCCUGCCCCUGCGACCUCCAGCUCCGCCCUGCGCCCUCUCCCCCUGGGAUUUCUCCCUUCUCCUUCCCUCUUUCCGUGCACCUCUGACUCUGCCCUGCUCCCAACUUCCAGCUGAGUUUGCAUCUGGGCACAAAAAGAGACAGGACUGGCCUUUACGCGGGAGGCGGGGUGGGCUGGGCGGGCGCGUUUCAUGAAGAAGGAAAUUGUGUGGGGCCGGGGUGGGGGAGGGGGCGGUGGAGCGGGCCCGGAGUGCGGCCCCGCGCGCCGGGGGAGGGGACCGGGAGCGUUGGCGUGCGGACCUCUCCUUCCGCCGUGGCACCGAUCGUGGGAUGGCAACCAAGUGCCCUGGAAGCCUCGCCGUUUGGGACCCUCCCUCUGCGAUGCAGGGACAGAUGUCUCCAUCGAAAUCUCGGAGCCGCCCCGGUAGAAAGGAGGGAAGGACGUGGGUACAGGGUGACGCUCUCCGGGAAAUAGGGUCAGGGUCAGUUCCCUAAAUGCAAGCAGAACUGGGCGCUGCGAUGCCUCCCCCCGCCCCCCUCCGGCGGCUGCGGACCAGGACUCGCUUGCGCAGACAGCGAAGGCGCAAGGAGAUCGCGGCCGCGGUCCGUGGGCCUUGCCCUUGUCCUCUUUUGAUGAAUGCCGGAGCGUGGGACGGUGCUUCGGUGUUUUAGAACUG